UUGCAUUUUUUUUGUUGAAUAGAAUAUCGCAUGGCGCCUGUUGAGAAAGUCAGGGCCAAAUUAGUCUUAUGUAAACAGUACUAAACAACACUUGGACUGUUACCGCGACGCCAUCAGGACAUGUUCGUCGGCCAGGGGACUCAGGGAGACACUUUUCUAAUAAUCAGCGGUGCAGCGUGAAGACAGAGAAACACCCAGCUGUGCUCACCAGUCUGUACGCGGCCCUCCGAUCAGUACGCAUCACAGGAGGGACACUGGUCUGGAAAAUGGAGCUGAGGCCCUCGUGUGCUGGCAGCCCCUCGUGCGGCGAAGGUGUGCGUGGGGCGGGGGUCGAGGCCGCGGGGUGGAGGGGAGGAGCACCACCAGCCACCGCGUCUCCAUCCCAAGGGCGUCAAGGGAGCCGUGGCCUGACCUCUACGUGUGCCUCGCCCGCCUUAGAAGUGAUGCCUCAACGUUCCUUCAUCGCUUCGG